UUUGUUUGUUUGGGAUUGGACUGUGAAAGUUGAAGCUGUGUCCGGCCCUAUAGAGAAAAAUGAAGGCUAUCUCUUCCACUUCGUGCGACGGCGACUCCAUACCGUUUGUGUUUCUUCCCACGAUCUGAAACGGUCGGAGUAAAGGUUUUGUGUUCAAUCCCAGAGAUUCACUCCCCCACGAUGUCAUCUUCAAUGCUUUGUUUCGAACUGGAAGGCGGUGUUUGUUCUGUAUAAAUAUGUAUGCCUCGGUGGUUCUGUGGUGGUACUCUAUGCCCGUGGUGGAGGUUUUAUGGUCUGUUCCGGUAGCUCUCUACGAAUUUGGAAGCUCCAGCCUCUUCUCGCCUCUCGGUGGUGGUUUUGUGCCACUGAAGGUUCAUUGCGGCGAGUAACCCUUGACGGAGCAGGACUGCAAAUCUUCAACGGGUCAGAAGAUUGUGAACUGAACUGAUCAACAAAAGCCAAGCUAAUCACAUGAGAUCUUUUGGUCAGGGUCAACAGCUAUGGCAAG